UGGGGAAUUUUGCACAAUGGGGGAAACCCUGAUGCAGCGACGCCGCGUGAUUUAGAAGGCCUUCGGGUUGUAAAAAUCUUUUGUAUGGGAAGAAAAUGACAGUACCAUACGAAUAAGGACCGGCUAAUUACGUGCCAGCAGCCGCGGUAAUACGUAAGGUCCGAGCGUUGUCCGGAAUCAUUGGGCGUAAAGGGUACGUAGGCGGAUAAGCAAGUUAGAAGUGAAAUCCUAUAGCUCAACUAUAGUAAGCUUUUAAAACUGCUCAUCUUGAGGUAUGGAAGGGAAAGUGGAAUUCCUAGUGUAGCGGUGAAAUGCGCAGAUAUUAGGAGGAAUACCGGUGGCGAAGGCGACUUUCUGGCCAUAUACUGACGCUGAGGUACGAAAGAGUGGGUAGCAAACAGG
rnacentral:rRNA from 1 species